ensembl:lncRNA
UCCCAUCAUGGAACAAAGUUAGCUCAAGUGUGGUGAUUUAUUGGUUGUUUCAAAUUAUUUUUGCUCACACAGCAGUAAAACUUGACAUCAAUAAUAAUAAUAAUAAUAAUAAUAAUAAUAAUAAUAAUAGAACCAGGGCAGUUGAAGGGAUUGUGCCCAAGUGCAUCCUUUUUUGGAGAUUGACAUCAAUAAUAAUAAUACUAAUAAUAAUAAUAAUAAUAAUAAUAAUAAUAAUAAUAAUAAUAAUAAUAAUAGAACCAGGGCAGUUGAAGGGAUUGUGCCCAAGUGCAUCCCUUUUUGGAGAUGGACAUCAAUAUUAAUAUUAAUUAUAAUAUUAAUACAUUUAUUACCCAUCUCUUCAUAACUAGGAGGAGGAGGAUGAUAAAUUUAUUGUGUUGCCGAAGGCCAUUCCCUCCUGGCGUUUCGCUUGAAUCUAUGGCAGGCAUCCUCAGAGGCUGUGAGGUCUCUUGGAAACUAGGCAAGUGGGGUUUAUAUAUAUUUGGAAUGUUCAGGAUGGGAAAAAGAACUCUUGUCUGAGGCAAGUGUGAAUGUUGCAAUUCGCCACCUUGAUUUAGCAUUAAAUAGCCUUGCAUCUUCAAAGCCUGGCUGCUUUCUGCUUGGGUUAAUCCUUUGUUGGGAGGCCCUGAUUAUUUCCUGUCUGGAAUUCUUCUGUUUUCUGAGUGGUGUUCUUUAUUUUAGAUUUUAGAGUUUUUAAAAUACUGACGUUUCGCCCACAUCUACUAACUUUGUCCCCACUUCAAAUAAGCCACCCCAGCCUUGCCAUCAGAGUUGUCAGAGGUUGAGAAGAAGGUCUUCUCAUCAUUCUCAUGCUCAACAGAGGGCAGGGACCAUAGUUAUCAUGCUGAGCAUAUUCUCCAAAAUGCCAAAGCCUAGUUACUGUAGCCCUAUUCAAGCUUCUAUCUGAGUAAGAAGGCUAAAACUACCAUAUUUACAUUAAUCUCAGCCACACCUUUUUUUGCCUAAAUGACUAUCACAAAAUUUAUUUAUUUAUUUAUUUAUUUAUUUAUUAUUCAAACUUACAUGCCGCUACUCCCCUAGGGCUCGGGGUGGCUUACAAGAACAGGCUAAAAUCUAACAAUUUAAAAACAUCUUAAAACAACUUAAAAACAUCUUCAAAACAUCUUUUAAAAACAUCAAUAACAGAAAUCAAAAGCCUGCCGAAACAGGUGCCAAAUUGAGGUGCACAUUACAUUUGUGUAAUAUGAUAAAGAGAAGUGGGUUACUGUGAGCUUUCUGGGCUGUAUGGCUAUGCUCCAGAAGCAUUCUCUCCUGACGUUUCACCUGCAUCUAUAGCAGGCAUCCUCAGAGGUUGGAAAUUAGUCAAGUGGGGUUUAUAUAUCUGUGGAAGGUCCAGAGUGGGAGAAAGAAAGAACUCUUGUCUGUUGGAGGCAAGUGUAAAUGUUUCAAUUGCCCACCUUGAUUAGCAUUGAAUAACCUUUCAGCUUCAAAGCUUGGCUGCUUCCUGCCUGGAGGAAUCCUUAUUACUAUUAUUAUUAUUAGGCCUUGCUCCCGAGAAGGUUCCUCCGCCAUGGCUCCCUAUCUAUCUAUAUAUCUAUCUAUCUAUCCCUACCUACCUACCUAUCUAUCUAUCUAUCUAUCUUGCCACAUAUUCUCCACAUUGCGUGUAUGUGUAUGUAUAUAUAAGAUAUAGAUAUACACACACACACACACACACCAGGAACCAUAUGUGCCAUGUGUGUGUGUGUGUGUGUUACACACACACACAUAUAUAUUCUAUUCACCUCUACCUUCUACCUUUUAUUUUUCAGUGAUUGGUUUGAGGGGGGGGGGGGGACCAAAAAUACUGCUUGCUUACACUUGAAAAUUACCUAUGGCCGGCCUUGUACAUGACUUGUAUUGCAAUUUAUGUUUCUCCACCCAGCAGUAUAUGCACAUAUUCACAAAUGCUCACCUAUGCUCAUACAAGUAAUAUUGCUCCUUGUUGUUUUUGACAUCACUGAUGUUAUUCCCCCUCCAAAGGUAUGUACAGAAUUGCAACUUUGACAACACUAUCCUAUUCAUGUCUUAUCAUAAAUAGGUCCAACUAUAUUCAGUAGUGUUUAUGCUUGGGAAAGUGGGUGUAAUUUAAUCAUCUUGGCUUCUAGGGAGAUUCCAGGCUUCAUUUGCUCCAGGGCCCAUUUAUUUAUCUUUUUAGCAGCCCACACUAUCUGUAGAACUCUUCUGCAGCACCACAUUUCAAGUGAGUUGACCGUCUUCAUAUCAGCUUUCUUCAUUUGCCAGCUUUUACAACCAUACUUAGGAAUGGAAAAUACUGUUAUAAAAUAAAUGUGCCCAGUAGCUAUUUCGGCACAUUUAUUUUGUCUCCCCGGUAAAAGCCUGCCUGACAUGCAAAACCCUACCAGAAGCCCUGUAGCUGUCAGCAUAGCCUAUUGCCUCACAAAAGUACACAACCCCACCACCAUAGUGCCAUUGCUGGGACUGUAGUUAUGGAGACCCUAAAAGGUAGGACAAACGUCUUAUCGGACACUAUCUUUCAAUUUAAAUCAUUGGUAGUCCUAACGCUGUUCAUUGUAGGGAUCCCUGAGCCAGCUGUACCAUUAGAUAGACAGCAGAUUCUGUGGCGUGAGGGAAGCAUUGUGGAAGGAAGUUGAAUCACUAGGGUACAUCUACUAGAUCAGUGUGGUCCAACUUUUAGUUACCCGAGGGCCAAUCAAACUUUAGUAUAGGAAUGUGAGGGCCAGAGACCUUCCAGAAAGAAAUUGAAUUACAUAAUUAAUACUGAAUUCCAUAUUUAAAAAUUAAUAUUUAAUAACAUAAUUGAAAUAUUUUUCCAGUAAGGAGGGCAAAGGCCAACAAGAAUGAAUUGGUGGGCUGCAUGCGGCUCAUGGGCCAUGGGCUAAACCGCACUAUACUAGAUAAUCCUUGUUUUCCAUAACCCGCAUUGCUGACACAGUGCUGAUGUAAGAUUCGGAUAACAAUUUGAUCAACCUCGUUGUCUAGAAUGGGAGCAGAUAGCAUCUGUCUUUUGCCUCCAGUAGCAAAAUGUCAUGGGGCAGUUUUAAGGUUUCCUGUGGUACACGGCAAUGUGGUUUUCUUUCAUUUUUGCCUCCAAGAUGUUGCUUUUAAUUCCUUUUGGUGUAUUGUAUUUAUUUCCAAAAGCUACUUGCUGCUGGAAAUGCAGACUAUAAAGAUUCUAAAUAUAUAUAUUUGAGAAAUGUAAUGAUAAUUCAAACACCAAGGCUUCUCUCUAUUCAUCUACACAUUGUACAUCACAAUGAUAAAUGUUUCACAACUGAGUCUUUAUAUAGUCUCUUUCCCUAGGACAGUCAAUUGCCCCCAGGAUUUUUAAGACUUAGGAGCAAAUAUAAAAACUGUCAAAUCAAUGAAAUGAAGUUUCUGUGAAGUGACACUUAAAGUUUUAAUUUGUACUAUAGACCCCUACUCCCUUCCCCUUCCCUUCUGGCAUUGUCUUUUGGGUUUUAUUAUUCUACCCUUAGGUUUGUAUCCAGGUCUUGUCAGUGGUGCAGCAGAUGUUGAAUCUGUAGUUCUUUUUUGGGCCAGGUCUAAGAUUAAUUCAAAGAUACUGAGGUCUAUUUUGGUCUUAACUGCAUGAAAGAGCAUAUUUUAUAUGGACACACUGCAGACAUGCUACAGGGCAGGAAGAUUAAAGUUAAAUGCUUAUUCAUGAGACUUUGCAAACUGCAACAAAUUGUAGAUCACUUAGUUGUGGAGAUAUUUGGGCCUCCAAGAAUCAAGUGAGGAAAGUAAUAGUUUAAAGACAAAAUUUGAUAAUCUGUUACUCUUGUUGGAGAAGAUGCCAUAGUUGGAACUUAUUUCACUUACUUCAGUUCCUCCCUGUACUAAAGAAUAUGUAUACUCCCUCACCCCCUAUAUCUUUGAUGAUACAAUAGACUCAUGUGUAGAACUACUUAACUAACAUGGCUCCAUACCUUACAUACUAUAUUCUGGUAUGUUUCCCAUCUUUCCCUUCUUUUUUCCUUUUUUAAUACUUUA